AUUUAUUUUUACGCAUAAUAUAGUUAAAUUUUGUAACGCUGUCACUUUUUGGCAACAGCAUAAUGUGGUUGCCAAAAGUGACAGCA